UUACGGCCACAUCAGGUUGAAACACCAGUUCCGGUACGAUCACCGAAGUUAAGCAACGUCAGGCCUGGUCAGCACCUGGAUGGGUUACCGCUUGGGAUUACCAGGUGCUGUAAG